UCUUCACAGCUGCGCCUUGCACAGGAUUCGCAAGGGCAAGGUUUCAGUUCUGCAAGCGGCCGCUCAGGAAACGCUGCCUGCCAGCUCUCUGCGGCCACGUCAGCAGAACACAGAGGGCUGAUGCCAGGGAAACUGGGAAGCAGCGGAGAAACCAGACGCCACUCAGGAUGCUCUGGCCUCAGUCAGCCAAUGGCCAUUCCCUCCCACCAGCGACGACAACCAGAGCCGGGUAAGUGGGCGGGCCCCGUUUCAGGAGCGUUUGUUCGACAAUCUCCAGACCACACCGCAAGACCGUGACCAUCUUCCAGGCCACACGGCACCUUCCGGCUCCUGCAGUCCGGAGUCUCCGGGCAUGAGUAAAUCGCUGGAGUUUGGAGCACACGCCCCUCCCCGGAAUCAUGUCCCAGGAUCCCUUUGGAAGCAGGGAAUGUGCUGCUAACGCAACGUCCCUAUCUCUUUCCUGCACCUCAACCCUUGAUCUGGCUUCCACCUGAGGCUCCCAACAGAGGCAAGUACAGACCUGGCAUCAUCUCUCUCUCAUUCUCGCUCUCACUCUCGUUCUGUGUUAACUUAUUCUGAGAUCCCAGAGGCGGCCCUUUGGGAAUGAAGCCAUCCUCCCAUGGGUCCGUCCACUCCAUGGACACUCCCACGGCAGGGAGACACAAAGCCGCUCUUCUCCAAAGACCAGCGCUGCUGUUUGAAGUUCAAGCGACAGCAAUUUCAGUCUUUCCCAAGGCCUUCAAAAGAGGAAGUGGACGCGAGAGCUUUCAACAAUGCUGUUCAAAACACGAGUUUGAACCUCACAUCGUGUCAGCCAGGGUCCCUGGGGAUGGGGAUGGCAUGCGUGAACAGGGAAAUUCGUGAGAAAUUUAGUAAAGAGACUGUAUACAAAGCUGCAGGUAGGAUUCGGGAAGUCAGUUCGGGGGAAGCAGAAUCCUGUGGCUAGCAACAUCCGGGGACCAUUCCCAAAGGUAAUGGGACAGCUACGGGACCCCACAGAGGGUGGUGGCAAUAAGAGGGCCCUGGACAGAUGCUGGGGCCUCCAGGAGGGGGCACACUCCAGCCAUAAGGACCCAGAAGGCAGGGGGAGUGCAGGGCAAAUACUCUGGCUCCCUCUCCUCCUGCCCUCCAGACAGUCCCAUCGGAUGGACCCAGCUGACUCAGCAUCCCACGGUGGGGAGCAGAGCAGAGCGGGCGCAGGCCCGGCUGAGGGGAGCAACAAAUGACAGGUCCUCAACACAAACGCUCGGCGUCUACAACGCACUGGGAAGCAACAAAUUGAGGGCAUAGACAUCAGGGAGUGUCUGGGGCACGGCAGAUGGGGUGCGCACAUCUCACAUCAGAAUGCCCAGCGUUGAGUCCUAGCUCCACUGCCAAUUCCAACUUCCCGCUAACGCAUCUCAGGGAGGCAGCAGGUGAUGGCUCACGCGCGUGGGCCCCUGCCACUCACGUGGGAGACCUGGAUGGAUGCAGUUCCGGGUUCCUGGCUUUGACCAGGCCCAGCUGUUUGCGGGCAUUUGGAGAGUGAACCAGCCAAUGGAAGAUCUCAGUCCAUCUGUCUGUUUCGCCCUCUCUCUCUCUGUCUCUCUGCCUUUCAAAUAAAAUGAAAACAAAUAUUUUUCACACACACAAGAAAGAAAUUAGGAAUAUUUGCACAACCAAAUGGCUUGUUGGUUUUACAGAUAUUUUUAACUUGUUUCCUUUAUAAAAUGAACUUCUCUCUGCAAUAAAAAAAUAGUUUCAUUUGUGGGAAAUGCAGCUUUCUCAGAGGUAAGGGGUGCAAGCUGGGGUACACAUGUCUCCCACACGUCUGCCCCCUCCCCGGGGACCUCCUUGUUGAUGUCCACAUCAGGGGAGGGCAGAGAGUGUCCAGGAAGGUCGCCGGGGAGGAAACAGACACUGCAAAGCUUCAGCAGCCGGCCAGCCAGGCUGCGCAGGCGCAGAUGAGCUCGCGAAGGUGCUCAUGCCGUUUGGCAGCUGCUAAGCUCACACAGGAGACACCAGCUUGGCCUCCCCGAGGGCUCCCCCCGGUAUUCCCAGCGACCUUCACGUUGACCUACAAUCUUAAAGUCCUGGCGCAGCAGGGGCUUUCCCAAAGACAGACACACAGAUCUGUAGCCCCCGGGGACCUAGCCAUGGGAAAGCAUUUUCCAAGGAAAGUCUUCGGAAGAUUUUCCUGCCCGCUGUAAGACAUCAUUGUACAGUCGCAGUUCACUGAUUCUAACUUCACCAAUAAGGCCAGGCCUCCGGCGUCCAGCUGGGAGUCUGCUCAGCUGCAAGGCCCAAGGCCACCCCUAGACCCCAGCCAGAGGGAGACAAAUGGCUGGAUCCACACGUGGCACGCCCUGCUCCACGCGUGGUCACAAAGACAAGAGCCACUGAAUCGUGGCGCGCCUGCAGAGCCCACCCGGUGAUGUCAACCCUCUCCUUUUUUAAAUUUUUUUUGACUCUUUUCUUUUAAUCCCCAACCCUUCCCUGCUCUUCUUGUCCUAUGCUAGCAAGUCACUGUGCCUUUAUGAACUUGAAAAACAGAUCGGGAACUGGACUCCCAGACCUGGACCAGAAGAGCCCGUGGCGAGUGCGGAAGACAGUGUGUCUGAACGAAGCUGUUCGAACAACUGACCUUUUCAGAUGGAUCCCGGCACAAUGUGUCUCUUGGCACCGUCUUGGGGGCCGCAGGGCCUGCUGCUGCCAAGCCUCCCGCUGACAUCUCCUGGAUCCUCCUCAAACACCCAUUAUGCCCAGACCGGUGGCCGUGGACUUGCAGAAUUCUACACCGAGGCUCCGGAGGGUAAAGGACAUCAUAUCUGCAGUUUCCUCUCCUGUGAUUCAAAGACAGAUACAGAAAGCAACCAGGCAAACGUGGUGAAAUGCUAACAUUUGGAGAAUCUGGCUGAAGCGAAAAAAAAAAAAAUUCUUUGUUCUCGUCUUGCAUCUUUUUUUCUUGGUCCCCUUGAUUUUUGACCUCCGGGUUAAUGAAGUUGACACGACGGCUGGAUUCCAGCACUGACUCCAGACUUGAACUGGGUCCUUGAACUGUGUCCUCACUCUGAUUUGCCCCUGUACAGGCCCUGAGCCAAGAGUUUGGUGAAUGAUAAAUUCACCAGCGAGGACGGUCUGCUGGUUUAUUGAGCGCUUACUAUACGUGUCAACCCUGGCACGGCCCUGAGUGCUCUACCUGCCACUCCACUCACUCCCCCCACCCCUGGUCGUAUUUUGAGGUGGGUGUCACUGUCCCCAAGUUACAGGCACAGAAACUGAGCCUCUCAGAGAUGAGCUCAUUUCCCCAGGGUGCCAGCAGCAAUUCAGCGGCGAGGCCAGAACUGAUUCACAGAUCUCUCAGGCUCCGCUGUCCUACACGAAGCAACCCUGACAUCACCAAGGAGACUUCCCAGCAGCUGCUCUCUUGUAAUGCGCCCUGUCUUGCUUCUCCUUUGCUGAAAUGAUUAAAAAAAAAUGCUUCUGAAGCUCGGCUCCCUGGGCCAGUGAACGCCAGAGAUAUGCUGCUGUUGAGAUUCAAAUGACUCAAAAAGUAAGUAGGACUUAAAGACCAGCUCUUCGGCUGCACUAGCCGCAUGUCAGUUCCUCGACAGCUGUGUGUGGCUUGCGGCUGUUGUUACUGGACCGUAGCCAGAUCUGAACAGAGCAGAUUGUACCACAUUUCUAACAUUGCAAAAAAGUUCAAUGCGGGGGGCGGGGGGCGGGGGAGAGCAGGCAGCCUGGGAUGCCCGCAUCCUGUGUUGCAGGGCUUGGGUUGGAGUGCUGCCUCUCCCUCUGAUCCAGGACGCACACCCUGGAGGAAGCAGGUUCCCUGUCACCCGCAUGGAGACUCACAUGGAGUUCCUGGUUCCAGGCUUUGGCCUGGCAGGCCCUCCGCUGCUGUAGGCAAUUGGGGUAUGAACCAGCAGAUGAAAGAUCAAUCCAUCUAUCCACCUACCUACCUAUCUAUCUAUCUAAUCUCUAUCUCUCUGUGCUCUGCCUUUCAAAUAAAUUUUAAAAAGCUCAGUGAGACAAAGCUAUUCCAAAAUAUUUCACACACACUUCACUUCUCAACAUAGCUUUCCAUUCAAAGUCAAUUUUUAAAAAAAUAAAACUCCAGGAGCCAGCAUUGUGUAUAGCAUAGAGAGGGUAAAGCUGCUGCCUGUGAUGCUGGCAUCCCAUGUGGGCACCAGUUCAUAUCCUGGCUGCUCCACUUUUGAUCCAGCUCCCUGCUAAUGGCCUGGGAAAAGCAGUGGAGAUGGUCCAAGUGUUUGGGACCCUGCUGCCUAUGGGGGAGACAGGGAAGAGGCUCCUGGCUUUGGCCUGACCCAGUUCCAGCUGUUGCAGCCAUCUAGGAGAGUGAACAAGCUGAUGGAAGAUCAAUCUCUAUGUCUCUUCCGCUGUAACUCUGCCUUUCAAAUAAAUAAAUAACUCUCUCCUUUAAAAUAUUUAUUUAUUUUAUUUGAAAGGCAGAGUUACGGAGAGGCAGAGAGAGAGAGAAGGGGGGUCUUCCAUCCAUUGGUUCACUCCCCAUAUGGCCCAUCCAAAGCCAGGAUCCAGGAAUUUAUUCUGGGUCUCCCACAUUGGUGCAGGGGCCAUAGCAAAGAGCCAGAUCAGAAGUGAAGUAGCCAGGACUUGAACCCACACCCUUAUGGGAUGCUGGACCUGCACGCAGGGGCUUUACUUGUUAUGACACAGCACUGGCCCCAAUAAAUAACUCUUAAAGAGAGAAAUAAAACUUCAAAUACACAAAAUUGACUUCUCCGUGGUUCUAAUUUGUCACAUGUGAAACAAAAAUGGUCAUGGGAGCAUCACGUGUUAGAGGGAGGCACCUACUGGUAGAUCAUGGAAUUACAACCUAGCACAAUCAGACACUGGAGUCUGCCAUCUGUGGGGUUCCACAGGAUCCACAAGGGUGGGAGAAACCACAAUUGCAGGAAAGCGUCAUGAAUGAAGGGCCAGGAGGAGGAACUGGGCCAGAAAAACCCAUCCAACACCAGUCUGAAGUCUCCAGCAUCACAAGGCUUGUCACCAAGGAGAUAAGAAACAGAUGUUAGUAAUUUGUAUAAAUAAGUAAUUAAUUGAUUUUGACAAUUCCAGAACUCUACCAUGGGGCAUUUUCUUGUCUUGUUGACUUUUAAAACUCAGCAUAGAAAAGGGGUUUAUUGUUUCAAACUUAAAAAAAAAAAAGGUUUAUUUAUUUAAUUGAAAGGCAGGAUACAGACCAGAGGAGAGAGAGAGAGAUCUUCCAUCCGCUGAUUCACUCCCCAAAUGGCUGCAACAACUGGGGCUGGGCCAGGCUGAAGCCAGGAGCCAGAAGCUUCUUCCAGGUCUCCCAUGUGGAUUCAGGGACCCAAGGACUUGGGCCAUCCUCUGCUGUUUUUUCAGGCACGUUAGCAGGCAGCUGGAUCAGAAGCAGAGCAGCCGGGACUCAAACCAGCGCCUAUAUGGGAUGCCAGGGCUGCAGGAAGAAGCUUAACUUUCUAUGAAACAGUGCUGGCCUCUGUUUCAAACUUAACUGACCCAAACUUGUUCAAGAAUGAAGGGAUGUCUGUACUUCGAACAGGAAGACAUCAAGAUGUUCCAGUCUCAGGUAGAGUGUGAAAAGACAGUCUUGUCUGUUCCUUUGGCCAAGGUGGCAGGAAUGAAAGAUGGCUUCCCUGACCAGGAAAUGGACCAGACCCUGAAUGACCCAUAGAUCCACUCAAUUCUCAAACAUUGAUUUGGCUCCUGGUAGCCAGCUGGUGGGGGGUGGGCAGUGGGGGUAGGGGCAGGGAUGAGAAGAGCUGGAGACCGCCUCUCUAAGUCCUGCAUCCAAAGGACCACAGCGGGGGUGUGGUGCUGUGGCACAGCGGGUUAGGCCCCCCUGCCUGCAAUACCAGCAUCUUCUAGCAGAGGGCUGCUUCAAGUCCUCGCUGCUCCAUUUCUGAUGCAGCUCCCCACUGCAUCACUGUCUUUGAAAUCAAUACAAUCUUAUUUAUUUACUUUUUUAAAGAUUUAUUUAUUUACCUGAAAGUCAGAGUUACACAGAGAGAGAAGGAGAGGCAGAGAGAGAGAGAGAGGUCUUCCAUCCACUGGUUCACUCCCCAAUUGGCCACAAUGGCUGGAGCUGCACUGAUUUGAAGCCAGGAGCCAGGAACUUCUUCCACUUCUCUCACGUGGGUGCAGGGGCCAAGCACUUGGGCCAUCUUCCACUGCUUUCCCAGGCAAUAGCAGAGAGCUGGAUCGGAAGUGGAGCAGCUGGGACUUGAACUGGUGCCCAUAUGGGAUGCCGACACUGCAGGUGGUGGCUUUAUCUGCUACGCCACAGC